rnacentral:rRNA from 1 species
UGGGGAAUAUUGCACAAUGGGCGCAAGCCUGAUGCAGCCAUGCCGCGUGUAUGAAGAAGGCCUUCGGGUUGUAAAGUACUUUCAGCGAGGAGGAAGGUGUUGUGGUUAAUAACUGCAGCAAUUGACGUUACUCGCAGAAGAAGCACCGGCUAACUCCGUGCCAGCAGCCGCGGUAAUACGGAGGGUGCAAGCGUUAAUCGGAAUUACUGGGCGUAAAGCGCACGCAGGCGGUCUGUCAAGUCGGAUGUGAAAUCCCCGGGCUCAACCUGGGAACUGCAUCCGAAACUGGCAGGCUAGAGUCUUGUAGAGGGGGGUAGAAUUCCAGGUGUAGCGGUGAAAUGCGUAGAGAUCUGGAGGAAUACCGGUGGCGAAGGCGGCCCCCUGGACAAAGACUGACGCUCAGGUGCGAAAGCGUGGGGAGCAAACAG